rnacentral:piRNA from 1 species
UGUGAAAAUCCUGCAGACUGGUGAC